rnacentral:rRNA from 1 species
GACGAACGCUGGCGGCGUGCUUAACACAUGCAAGUCGAACGGUAAGGCCCUUCGGGGUACACGAGUGGCGAACGGGUGAGUAACACGUGGGUGAUCUGCCCUGCACUUCGGGAUAAGCCUGGGAAACUGGGUCUAAUACCGGAUAGGACUCCGGACUGCAUGGUCUGGGGUGGAAAGCUUUUGCGGUGUGGGAUGGGCCCGCGGCCUAUCAGCUUGUUGGUGGGGUGAUGGCCUACCAGGGCGACGACGGGUAGCCGGCCUGAGAGGGUGACCGGCCACGCUGGGACUGCAAUCCGGCCCAGACUCCUACGGGAGGCAGCAGUGGGGAAUAUUGCACAAUGGGCGCAAGCCUGAUGCAGCGACGCCGCGUGAGGGAUGACGGCCUUCGGGUUGUAAACCUCUUUCAGCAUCGACGAAGCGAAAGUGACGGUAGGUGCAGAAGAAGGACCGGCCAACUACGUGCCAGCAGCCGCCGUAA